CAGAAAAUAGUUUAAAUAAAAUAUUGAUUUUGGAGAUCAGUGAUGAGAUUCAUGUACCUCUUUUUUCUGA
rnacentral:tRNA from 1 species